rnacentral:rRNA from 1 species
UACGUAGGGGGCUAGCGUUGUCCGGAAUCAUUGGGCGUAAAGAGCGUGUAGGCGGCCCGGUAAGUCCGCUGUGAAAGUCGGGGGCUCAACCCUGGAAUGCCGGUGGAAACUGUCGGGCUAGAGUCCGGAAGAGGCGAGUGGAAUUCCUGGUGUAGCGGUGAAAUGCGCAGAUAUCAGGAGGAACACCAAUGGCGAAGGCAGCUCGCUGGGACGGUACUGACGCUGAGACGCGAAAGCGUGGGGAGCAAACAGG